rnacentral:rRNA from 1 species
GGGGAAUCUUGCGCAAUGGGCGAAAGCCUGACGCAGCCAUGCCGCGUGGAUGAUGAAGGUCUUAGGAUUGUAAAAUCCUUUCACCGGUGAAGAUAAUGACUGUAGCCGGAGAAGAAGCCCCGGCUAACUUCGUGCCAGCAGCCGCGGUAAUACGAAGGGGGCUAGCGUUGCUCGGAAUUACUGGGCGUAAAGGGAGCGUAGGCGGACAUUUAAGUCAGGGGUGAAAUCCCAGAGCUCAACUCUGGAACUGCCUUUGAUACUGGGUGUCUUGAGUGUGAGAGAGGUAUGUGGAACUCCGAGUGUAGAGGUGAAAUUCGUAGAUAUUCGGAAGAACACCAGUGGCGAAGGCGACAUACUGGCUCAUUACUGACGCUGAGGCUCGAAAGCGUGGGGAGCAAAC